CGAAAGCCUGACGGAGCAACGCCGCGUGAGGGAUGAAGGCCUCUGGGCUGUAAACCUCUUUUCUCAAGGAAGAAGAACUGACGGUACUUGAGGAAUAAGCCACGGCUAAUUCCGUGCCAGCAGCCGCGGUAAUACGGGAGUGGCAAGCGUUAUCCGGAAUUAUUGGGCGUAAAGCGUCCGCAGGCGGCCGUACGAGUCUGUCGUUAAAGCGUGGAGCUUAACUCCAUUUGAGCGAUGGAAACUGUAAGGCUUGAGUGUGGUAGGGGCAGAGGGAAUUCCCGGUGUAGCGGUGAAAUGCGUAGAUAUCGGGAAGAACACCAGUGGCGAAGGCGCUCUGCUGGGCCAUGACUGACGCUCAUGGACGAAAGCCAGGGGAGCG
rnacentral:rRNA from 1 species